GAUGAACGCUGGCGGUAUGCUUAACACAUGCAAGUCGAACGGACUCUUCGGAGUUAGUGGCGGACGGGUGAGUAACGCGUGAGAAUCUGGCUUUGGGUUCGGGACAACCACUGGAAACGGUGGCUAAUACCGGAUGUGCCGAGAGGUAAAAGAGAAAUUGCCUGAAGAUGAGCUCGCGUCUGAUUAGCUAGUUGGUGAGGUAAAGGCUCACCAAGGCAGCGAUCAGUAGCUGGUCUGAGAGGAUGACCAGCCACACUGGGACUGAGACACGGCCCAGACUAAUACGGGAGGAAGCAGUGGGGAAUUUUCCGCAAAGGGCGAAAGCCUGACGGAGAAAUACCGAGUGAGGGAAGAAGGCUCUUGGGUUGUAAACCUCUUUUCUUAGGGAAGAACAAAAUGACGGUACCUAAGGAAUCAGCAUCGGCUAACUCCGUG
rnacentral:rRNA from 1 species